AGUGAACGCUGGCGGUAGGCCUAACACAUGCCAGUCGAACGGCAGCACAGUAAGAGCUUGCUCUUACGGGUGGCGAGUGGCGGACGGGUGAGGAAUACAUCGGAAUCUACUUUUUCGUGGGGGAUAACGUAGGGAAACUUACGCUAAUACCGCAUACGACCUACGGGUGAAAGCAGGGGAUCUUCGGACCUUGCGCGAUUGAAUGAGCCGAUGUCGGAUUAGCUAGUUGGCGGGGUAAAGGCCCACCAAGGCGACGAUCCGUAGCUGGUCUGAGAGGAUGAUCAGCCACACUGGAACUGAGACACGGUCCAGACUCCUACGGGAGGCAGCAGUGGGGAAUAUUGGACAAUGGGCGCAAGCCUAAUCCAGCCAUACCGCGUGGGUGAAGAAGGCCUUCGGGUUGUAAAGCCCUUUUGUUGGGAAAGAAAAGCAGCAGGUUAAUACCCCGCUGUUCUGACGGUACCCAAAGAAUAAGCACCGGCUAACUUCGUG
rnacentral:rRNA from 1 species